rnacentral:rRNA from 1 species
AGAGUUUGAUUAUGGCUCAGGAUGAACGCUAGCGGCAGGCUUAACACAUGCAAGUCGAGGGGCAGCGGGAUGUAGCAAUACAUUGCCGGCGACCGGCGGAUGGGUGCGUAACGCGUAUGCAACCUACCUUAUACAGGGGAAUAACCUUUCGAAAGGGAGACUAACACCCCAUAGUAUUGAUUUAAGGCAUCUUAGAUUAAUUAAAUAUUUAUAGGUAUAAGAUGGGCAUGCGUAUGAUUAGCUAGUUGGUAAGGUAACGGCUUACCAAGGCGACGAUCAUUAGGGGUUCUGAGAGGAAGGUCCCCCACACUGGUACUGAGACACGGACCAGACUCCUACGGGAGGCAGCAGUGAGGAAUACUGGUCAAUGGGCGCAAGCCUGAACCAGCCAUGCCGCGUGCAGGAAAGACGGCCUUAUGGGUUGUAAACUGCUUUUACAUAAGACUAACCGUAUAUUUGCGAAUAUACCUGAAUGUAUUAUGAGAAUAAGGAUCGGCUAACUCCGUGCCAGCCGCAGC